GUUUUAAUUAUAGCUGUUUUGGGGGGUGAAUAGGGCCUUCGAUUAAUGUCAAUUGAAUUUGGGUUUCUAGUUUUUUGAAGAAAACCCUCCCAAAUACACUUUUCCUUUAUACUUGGAAAAACUUCAUUAAUAGUUCCACUUAACUCUCAAAGUAUUAUCCUGGUUGAUUUUGAAAUUUGAAAAUAGGUUACCAUUUUGAGGCAAUUAGAUAAAAAUUAUGUAAAUGCAGACAAUUACAAUGUUUAUAAAUAGUGUAACAUGAAUGUACUAGCUACAUUCAAUGCUGCAGAUUUUUUGGAAGUGUGACAUGGUAUUUUUUUAUGUUCCUUUUACCUCUUUUUUUUUUCCAAAUACUUCCCCAGAUCCAAAAUUCUCCACAACAAUUUCUAUGACAUAACACCCAUUUGUCUUAAGUGCUUCAGUCUUUUGUUUUAUUUCAUGCACUGUGCCUUCAAAAUGAAAACUUAAAAGGGACUUUAAAAGAAUUGAAUAGUAGUUUUAAAAAGUUAAUCUGUGUAAUUUAUGUGAAAUCUAACUGUACUGAGGUCCUUUGUUUUUUAUAUGUAAACAGAUCUACUAAUCCUGUAUAAAAGUUAUUUUAUGAUGUUUGUCUUUCUUUGUGUGUUGUCUCAUAAGCUUUAUUCAAAAACAGUAGACGGUUACUGCUCAAAUCCUGAAAGUUUUAAGCUUAGUUUUUCUACCUAACUUGAAGAGAAAAUAGUACCAGAGGCAGGAUAUGGGGAACCACCUAUAAAGUGUUCCCAUCUUUAUGAAUUGACUAACAGAAGGUUUUGUUUCAGAAGUGACUGUUUACAUAGAAGCCACAACUGUGCAGCAUCCAGAAUGAUGCGUUCAGGAGCACCAACACACAGUAGCCACACAGGGCUUUACCACGGCACAGCCCACUCCACAGACAGAAGCCAUAGGAAACCCAGUGUCAAUACCCUGUUGACUCUCCCAAGAAGACACGGUGGGGAAGCCAUGGCUUAUUUCUGAGCAGUUAAGGAAAGCUGUCUACCGGGCGCUCCCUCCAGGACCACAGCAAGAAAUCUUCAGUUAACAUCUCCACGAAGAGCAGUACCUACGAGACU
rnacentral:lncRNA from 1 species